rnacentral:lncRNA from 1 species
UUUAGUUUUCAGAGAGCUUAGGUGAGAAAAUCCUAUUCCUAGCCAUGAGUUCCUUCAAUCAAGCAGAGCCAACCCAAAAUGCCUCGAUGGCCAAGCUACCACCGCCGGCCAUGGUUAACAACAAAAACCCAGCCACUGUCCAAAUCACUGCUGAGCAAAUUCUCAGUGAGGCACGUGAGCUCCAGCUUCUCCAUAAUGAAUUAGUGGAGGGUGCUAGGGCGAUUUACGAGCAAUCUGUACAAUGUCAACCAAAUCAAAUUCAGGCUUGGAUUCGAUAUGCCAAGUUUGAGACUAGUAAUGGUGAUGUUGCGAGGGCAAGGGAGGUGUAUGAGAGGGCAGUGGAGAAGGUAGAACUAGCAGAUUUUAAUGAGGCAGCAGAGCAGUUGCUGGUGGCUUUCGCCGAAUUCGAAGAGCACUGCGAAGAAAUCUUGCGUGCAAUGUGUAUCUACAAGUUCGCUCUUGAUCAUAUACCAAAAGGACAGGGCAUGGAUUUAUAUAGCAAGUUUGUACUUUUUAGGAAGCGUCAUGGGGUCAGACUAGGGAUUGAAGAUGCCCUUGAGAGAGAGAUGAUGUCUCUGGAGAUCAAGAUAAUAUUAGCUGCCUACAGGUGGAAGAAGGAACAAGUUUCUUCUCACGAUAUUGGAAGCGGCCUACAGGAG